rnacentral:rRNA from 1 species
CAGUCGCCACGGGAAUACGAAGGGUGCAAGCGUUACUCGGAAUUACUGGGCGUAAAGCGUGUGUAGGUGGUUGUUUAAGUCUGUCGUGAAAGCCCUGGGCUCAACCUGGGAAUUGCGAUGGAUACUGGGCGACUAGAGUGCGGUAGAGGAUAGUGGAAUUUCCGGUGUAGCAGUGAAAUGCGUAGAGAUCGGAAGGAACAUCUGUGGCGAAGGCGACUAUCUGGGCCAACACUGACACUGAGACACGAAAGCGUGGGGAGCAAACAGGAUUAGAUACCCCGGUAGUCCCUGUCUCUUAUAC